GAUGAACGCUAGCGGCAGGCCUAAUACAUGCAAGUCGAACGGUGUAGCAAUACACAGUGGCGCACGGGUGCGUAACACGUAUGCAACCUACCUAUCAUUGGGGGAUAGCCUUUGGAAACGGAGAUUAAUACCGCAUAAGACAGUAACAUGGCAUCAUGUAGCUGUUAAAGCUUUGGCGAUGAUAGAUGGGCAUGCGUCCAAUUAGUUAGUUGGUGAUGUAACGGCUCACCAAGACGAUGAUUGGUAGGGGAUCUGAGAGGAUAAUCCCCCACGCAGGCGCUGAGAGACGGGCCUGACUCCGACGGGAGGCAGCAGUAGGGAAUAUUGGGCAAUGGACGGAAGUCUGACCCAGCCAUGCCGAGUGCAGGAAGAAGGCGUUAUGCGUUGUAAACUGCUUUUUUAUAGGAAGAAGGAGACCUUGCGAGGUUUGGAGACGGUACUAUAAGAAUAAGCACCGGCUAACUCCGUGCCAGCAGCCGCCGUAAGAC
rnacentral:rRNA from 1 species